UUCAAACAGUCCAGUGGCGGUUCUAGCAGGCGAGGGGGUACGUUAAUCGGACGUGAUAAUAGGCGGCGACUUUAAUGCAGACUGCAACUACCUGCGCCUAAGUGACUGGAAGAAUAUUUCGCUGAAAAGUGACCCCAGAUAUACCUGGCUGAUUGAUGACGAUAUCGACACUACCGUUUCACAGUCAUCAUGCAGCUAUGACAGGUUUGUGAUAGCAGGGAACCUCAUGAAAGAUUCGGUUGUUCCGGGAAGUGUUCAUGCUUUUCGCUUUGAUGAGGAAAUGCAUUUCAACAAAACAAUGGUGAGACACAUUCAUUACCAG